rnacentral:rRNA from 1 species
GACCCUUUGGGGUUAGUGGCGAACGGGUGAGUAACACGUGGGUGAUCUGCCCUGCACUUUGGGAUAAGCCUGGGAAACUGGGUCUAAUACCGGAUAGGACUACGCACUGCAUGGUGUGUGGUGGAAAGCUUUUGCGGUGUGGGAUGGGCCCGCGGCCUAUCAGCUUGUUGGUGGGGUGAUGGCCUACCAAGGCGACGACGGGUAGCCGGCCUGAGAGGGUGACCGGCCACACUGGGACUGAGAUACGGCCCAGACUCCUACGGGAGGCAGCAGUGGGGAAUAUUGCACAAUGGGCGCAAGCCUGAUGCAGCGACGCCGCGUGAGGGAUGACGGCCUUCGGGUUGUAAACCUCUUUCGCCAGGGACGAAGCGCAAGUGACGGUACCUGGAGAAGAAGGACCGGCCAACUACGUGCCAGCAGCCGCGGUAAUACGUAGGGUCCGAGCGUUGUCCGGAAUUACUGGGCGUAAAGAGCUCGUAGGUGGUUUGUCGCGUUGUUCGUGAAAACUCACAGCUUAACUGUGGGCGUGCGGGCGAUACGGGCAGACUGGAGUACUGCAGGGGAGACUGGAAUUCCUGGUGUAGCGGUGGAAUGCGCAGAUAUCAGGAGGAACACCGGUGGCGAAGGCGGGUCUCUGGGCAGUAACUGACGCUGAGGAGCGAAAGCGUGGGGAGCGAACAGGAUUAGAUACCCUGGUAGUCCACGCCGUAAACGGUGGGUACUAGGUGUGGGUUUCCUUCCUUGGGAUCCGUGCCGUAGCUAACGCAUUAAGUACCCCGGCCUGGGGAGUACGGCCGCAAGGCUAAAACUCAAAGGAAUUGACG